AUGAACUUUAUGUAUGAACUUGUAUUAAUUUGGUCUAUUCGGUGUUGUGUAAUGAAGAUGAGCCGGCAAUGGAUGUACGAUGACCGAUGCUCUCCCCACUUCGUUGAGGGCGUGCAUACUUUUCUGCUUGCGGCUGAGGCAAACAAGCGGGCGAAUGGUUUUAUGCCUUGUCCAUGUGCUCGCUGUAAGAAUGGUCACAAUUACUCUACGUCAAGAACCAUUCACGUCCACCUGUUUAAGUCCGGUUUCAUGCCUCAUUAUAAUGUUUGGAACAAGCACGGAGAAAGAGGGGUUAUGAUGGAAGACAAUGAAGAAGAAGAGGACGACGACAGCUAUCCUGGCCAUGGGUUCCCUGAAUACGAUGAUACAAUAAUGGGGGAAGAAGCUGAGCCGGUAAUGCGGGAAGAAGCUGAGCCGGCAACGCGGGAAGAAGCUGAAGAAGAGGCAUCAGAUGAGCCCAUUGAUGAUCUAGGUCGGGCCAUUGCCGAUGCAAAGAGAAACUGCGCAAGUGAUUUGGAGAAGAAGAAGUUGCAGCGCAUGUUAGAGGAUCACAAAAAAUUGUUGUACCUGAAUUGCGUAGGUGACAAGAAAAAGCUGGGCACCACACUGGAAUUGCUGCAAUGGAAGGCAGAGAAUGGUGUAUCUGACAAGGGAUUUGGAAAGUUGCUGGUAAUGAUAAAGGAUAUGCUUCCAAAGGACAACGAAUUGCCCGAGAGUAUGUACGAAGCAAAGAAGGCUGUCUGCCCUCUAGGGUUAGAGGUGCAGAAGAUACAUGCAUGCCCUAAUGAUUGCAUCCUCUACCGCGGUGAGUACGAGGAUUUGAACGCUUGCCCGGUAUGUGGUGCAUUGCACUAUAAGAUCAGCCGCGAUGACCCUGGUGAUGUCGAGGGCCGGCGCCCCAGGAAGAAGAUUCCUGCCAAGAUGAUGUGGUAUGCUCCUAUAAUACCACAGUUGAAACGUUUGUUCCAAAACAAAGAGCAUGCCAAGGCGAUGCGAUGGCACAGAGAAGACCGUAAGAAAGACGGAAAGUUGAGAGUACCCGCUGACGGGUCGUAG
rnacentral:rRNA from 1 species